rnacentral:rRNA from 1 species
AUUGAACGCUGGCGGCAGGCCUAACACAUGCAAGUCGAACGAGUGGCGGACGGGUGAGUAAUGUCUGGGAAACUGCCUGAUGGCGGGGGAUAACUACUGGAAACGGUAGCUAAUACCGCAUACCAUCAGAUGUGCCCAGAUGUGAUGAGCUUGUGGGUGGGGUAACGGCUCACCAAGGCGACGAUCCCUAGCUGGGCUGAGAGGAUGACCAGCCACACUGGAACUGAGCCACGUUCCAGACUCCUCCGGGAGGCAGCAGGGGGGAAUAUUGCACAAUGGGGGCAAGCCUGAUGCAGCCAGGCCGCGUGUAUGAAGAAGGCCUUCGGGUUGUAAAGUACUUUCAGCGGGGAGUCGUUACCCGCAGAAGAAGCACCGGCUAACUCCGUGCCAGCCGCCGCGGUAAUAC